CCAGCGGAUGUCUUUUCGAUUGAGGGGUCAGCUGGUCCCUGAGUGUCUAAAAGCUAGCAGGCGUUGCAGUCCAGGACUUGCAAGGGUAAUCUAUAGAGCCAAAGUUACCAGAACUGAACCCAGAAGCCUUUAGUGUGGCUGUGAGAGAAGCUGAGGAAGGCCAGGGCUGGCAGAGGCGUCCUCAGGACACGCAUGUCCGUGUAGGCAUCAUCUACGCCUAUGUAUUGUCAUCCUAACGGGCUGUGUGCCUUAAAAACAAACCUGAGACAGAAGGAGUACAUCAAGUGUGCGCCUUGGUGCUCUCCACGCACAAGUGCAGCAGGCCAGUGCUCACCCCUUCAACCUCAGCACAUGGGAGGCUGAGAUGGGAGGACCAAGGUCAGGGUCAGAGUCACCUUUCCACAGCCAGCAGCCCGUGGCCCAGCCUAACACACUCUCUUGGUCCACCUUAGUCUCCCUCCUGGCCACCCAUCCUGACCAAGCCAAACAGAAGCCCCGCCUCUUUCAGGAAGCCCUCCUGCCAGAGCGCUCACAGGCUCUGGCCCCUCUUGUCAUCCUAGAUCUCAAGGAAGAACCACGGAAAGGAUGCAGCCAUUGGCCUUGAGCCUUUACAGGUUUUGUCCCAGCAGCCCUUGCUGCAUGUGGGACAGGGGACAGUCUAGAAGCCUGUUGGCGGCUGAGCAAAGCUGCUGGCUCCUCAGAGCGGGCUGGCGGCACCGGAGGAGAGAUUGGCGAGGGAGGACAGUAGAGCUUUCCAAGUUCUGGCGGGUCUGCGGGAGGUCUGCUUGCCAGGAGAGAGCUUUGGGCGGGAAUGGAUUUGGCAGGCAAGGCUGGCCCCCAAGUGCUGCUUGCCUGAUCCCUGGUGGGAUCCAGUUGGCACUGGACACUCAAGUCUGGAGCUGAAUGCUGUCCUGGCUGCACAGAUGGUGGCAAGGCUGGGGACUGGGAGACGCCUCGCAACUGCGGCAUUCUGGGGUGGCAACACUGCCUUGAUGUCCGCAGGGCCAUUGGUGGGUGGAGGCCAUUGGUGGGUGGAGGGUGGGACCAGGGUGCCCCUCCUUGUCUGGUCUGGGGCCGCUCUACCCAAGCCCGGUUAUAAUCACCCAGGAUCUUGAAAGACACCCACAGGGCUGUGUGGGAUGGUAUAUAUUUGCAACCCCAACACUCACUAGCAAGGCGGGAGGCUCACUAGCUCAAGGCCAUCCUAAGCCUCAAGGUAAAUUCCAGGCUGGUGGAGGCUCUGUCUAAAAAUCCAGCUAAACAAAACAAACAAAAACCCACGGACUGCAUGCGGCUUGGUUGAGUUGAUCAGACCUUGCCUAGAAUGCACACGGCCCUGGGUUCCACCCCCAGUGCCACACAAACGAUGUGGGGAUGCAGGACUGUGAUCCCAGCACUUGGGAAGUGGAUGCUGCAGGAUCUGUGAAUAGAAGGCCAUCCUGGGCUACAUGAAACACUGUCUCUAAAUGCAAAAACCCUGUAGAACCCAGGGCUCAUAUCCAAAAUGGGUAGGGAUCCCUGACAGGGCCCUGCAGGCCUCACAGAGCUGCUUAGGGCUGCUGUGGGUAUAUACUGUCCAGAUGGGGCAGAGCUGCGGGGUAGUGUGUGUGUGUGUGUGUGUGUGUGUGUGUGUGUGUGUGUGUGUGUUUCCUCUGUUCCUGUGUGUGUGUGCAUGUGUGUAUCUGUGUAUGUGUGUAUGUGUGUUUCUGUUUCCUCUGUUCCUGUGUGUGUGUGCAUUUGUGUGUGUGUGUGUGUGUGUGUGUGUGUGUGUAUGUGCGCACACACACCUGUGGAGGCCAGAGGACAUUAGGUAUCACUCCUUAGGUGCUGCUAUCCACUUUGUAUUUUUUUAUAUCUUCAUACAUGCACACAUACAUACAUACAUAGUACAUACAUACACACCAACAUACAUACAUGUAUAGUACAUGCAUGCAUAUGUCAUACAUAUACAUAUAAGUACAUACACAUGUAUAUACACACAUGUAUACUACAUACAUACAUGCUUACAAACAUACAUUCAUACAUAAACAUACAUAUGCUGCUUGCCUGAUCCCUGGUGGGAUCCAGUUGGCAUUGGACAUUCAAGUCUAUCUUGACCCCAACACCACAAAUUUUGGCUUUUAUUUUGUUUUUUUCUAAAUUUGUUCUUGUUUAGUUUAUCAACUUUUAAUCUUGAAGGGAUGGGCGUCUGUAUCUAUGUCUGUGUACCACAUGUGUACCUGGUGUCCAGAGAAGCCAGAAGAGGGCACCACAUCCCCUGAGACUAAAGUUACAGGUGGUUGUAAGCAGCCAUGUGGGUGCUGGGAACCAAGCUUUGGUCCUCAGGAAGAGCAGCCAGUGCUCUUAGCUGCCGAGACAUCUCUCCAGCCCAACACAUUAGUUUUUUGUUUAUUUGUUUAUUUUAAGACAGGUCCGCACAGAGCCUGAGGCUCUCCAAGUAGGCGAGGCUGACUGACCGGCAAGUUCCAGGGAGCUGCCUGUCUCUGCUCCCCACCCAGAACCAUUCACUAAGUUUUCAUGUGUGUGCUGGGAUUUGAACUCAGGCCCUCAUGCUUGCACUGCAAGACCUUUACCUGCUGCUGCAGGUUCUCAGUCCCAGUGCCAGGUGUGUUUCACCCACAGGAUUACAACAGUCAGGAUGAGGACAAACCUCUCCCGAGGGUACCUCACAGUGCCGGGCAGAAACCAAGGACAGGGAACUGAGAAACAGCAGACACACCUGAAAUGAGAGGGUUGAAAGAGACCCACACUGGUGGCCACAGUGCAGAUGGCUUCCACCAGGGGGUGCUAUGGAGCCCAGUGUACCCCUACUGUGUGUGAGGCCACAGCACUAGGCACCCUGCCUCUAAGCCUUGUGGCUUCACUUUCCUCCUCUGCAGGUGGGAGCACAGCACUGUUGUCAGGGCUGUGGGAAGAUUAAAUGUUUAGACACCUGCAUGAGAUCCUCCUUCUGUACCCCAUCAUCCAGCAAGCCGGGGCACAGAAAAGUGCACGGCCCCAUCUCAAACAAGGGCCCUCCGUAUCCCACUGAUUCAGCCAGCAAACGUUUGGAAGGCGGAUUUGACCUGUCAGGAGAGAGAAGGUGGGAUUUCCGGUGACUGCUGUUUUUUCUGCCCCGUGAGUGGUUUCCUCCUGGAGUAGGUGCGUGCACAUCAAAAGGGUUGUCACCAUGGAUUGUUUUUUUAUCUAGCUGGCUGCCCCUGGGUGGAGGUGGCAGGCCAGCUGUGUCUCCAGAUUGCUAGCUCCCUUAGGAAUGGCCUUCACCCUAGAAGAGCCAGUCACCAUGAACCCUCAGGGAAGGUGCUCAGGCUUUCUCAUCUAGUCCCUGCAUACCCCCAGAGGUCAUUGUCAUGUCCUGGGACCUCCUCCCUGGACAUCUGACAGUACCUCUAUUGCCACCUAGUAAGUGUGGGACCUUUCCUGACCCGGUACUGCCCAGGUAGACCUAUGUCCAGCUGCCCUCUGGGGACACCUGCCCAGGUCGUGCCCACUUCCGGCUUUCCCUGUGGCAUGCUGCCAAGGUUGUUCUCUAAUGGGUUAAGUGACUCUGCAGCAUGCGCACACAUGGUUGACAUUAUUGGCAUGAAUAAAAGAUGAGUCCUGCCGGGAGGCUGUCAGGACGAUCCUCUCUGCUGAGGCGGCUCAGCGAGAGUGACAGUAAAAGACUCCGUGGGGAGGGAGCUGGGGGUGCCCCCCUCACCCACUAAAUGAGGGAUGGCACACCUCCCCGGGAGGCCUAGUGACAAGAGCUGCCUGGGGGUCCUAUGGUUCAGGUUUUCAUGCAGCCACUCCUGGCCUGGCAUUGUGCCGGGGACUCUGGAAAGGAGGUGACCAGACGGCCUAAAGAGGCAGGAAGCUUGAGGGUGGGCAUACUAGGUGAUGUCACUGCAGAUGCAAUGACCCCAGAACCCCAGUGUUCAGAGUGUUUGGGGAGCUGGGGUCAGAGAGCAAGGAGAAUUUGGGAGGCUCCCAGGGCUGCAGAGGGGACUCGGGACUUUGAGCCUGGAGCUGCACAGGUUCCCCAGAUGUCUGGAUAUGCACAGCUGAUUAACUGGGCAGCUACACAGGGCUCCAGCAGGACAGGGCUAGGCACUCACUCACUCACUCACUUGCCCAAGUGCUUUGUCUUGACAACAGACCGCGCUGCCCCAGAGUCGCUGCUAUUGGAUGUAUCGGGCAAGCUCUAAACUUCACAGGUACCAUAGAGCCAUGCCAAGGGGCAUUCGGGUGGGGCUGACCCCAGAUGCUACUUUUCAGAGGCUGCUGGGAACAGCAUAGAAGCAAUACCACUGGCACCAGAGUCCUGACCCAGCCUGUGGCUGAGACUUGGGCACCUCUGUUCACUGAGUAGUCUGGAAAUGGCUGGGGGUAGGGGGAGACACAUCUCGGCAGGGAAGGAGCAAUGGUGUUGAGCCCUUCUAAAUCUGCAUGGACACCCACUGAAUUGGAAAAACAGUCCCCUGGGUCCCAUAGGGCAGACCCUGGGCCACGCCACGUCUAUAGCCUCAUCUUCUGGGGGUGGGGGGAUUGUGGCAGCCUGUAACGAGCCAUCAGAGAAGAGUUGGAGACCAUGGAAAGGGAGAGACCACAGAGCCGGUCAGGCUAGAGCCCAGGUGAACAGACAUUUGCCAAGGAGAGGAGGAGCCAAGUUGAAUGUGCAUGUGUGUGUAUGCGUGUGUGUGUAUGUGUGUGUGUGUGUGUAUGUGUGUGUGUGUGUGUGUGUGUGUGUGUGUGUCUGUCUGUAAGCACAUAAGCACAUCGCCCACCCAUGGCUCUUCUUGUGUCUUGGAGCUGGAUCUCUCACCCGAAGGGACCUUCCUUGUACCUUGUCCCCUAGAUGAGGCCCUUUGGCUCGUCUUUAAGGCACAUUUUGUAGCAGAAGCUAGGUAGGGUCAGGAAGUCAACCCUAGCCCCUGUGGCCCACGUUGGGUUUAGUCUCAGGCUGCAGUCCAGUCUGGUGUCCAUCUGUGACACAGGUGAGGCAGGACCCACGAUGUCCACUCAGCACAGAUGACAAGAGCUUCUCGGAGACAUUGUUGGGAUGAAAUGGGGUCCUGCACUAAAGGAAUGGAGCACCCAUCCCCAGGGACAGCCAUGGACGUCUGUGUUCUGUCCAUUCAUCCACCAGAGAGGCAGUCAAGCAUCUGGCUCUCAGGCCCAGGUGAGACAGUAGACAGAGGCUGUGCCCUGACAGGCCUACUUAGUUGAGAGUGGUACCUUAAGGUCCGUGGAAUGGGGGGUUGGGGAUUUAGCUCAGUGGUAGAGCGCUUGCCUAGGAAGUGCAAGGCCCUGGGUUCGGUCCCCAGCUCCGAGAAAGAAAAAAAAAAAAAAGGUCCGUGGAAUGGGAGUUGCAAUUCAUAAGAUAUUUAACAAGUUGGCCCUGACCUCUGCCUUUCUUUAGGGGUCCUAAGGAGACAGGGUCCCUGGUAAGGGACAAGACCUUCUGAAAGCAGCUCACCGGGCCUGGGCUUCAGGAUGGCAGGGUGUGGAUGUGUGGACGUGGACCUACUGAGCAUGCGGCAUAGGCCCCUCGUGAGCCCGCAGGCUGCUUGGAAACACCUGCUCCAGCCAUCCCCCGGAAUCGCUGAUGUGCCCACGCCGAGCCCUGACAGGCACACGGCGCCUUGCCCGCCCCCCUCCCAGUCGCCAGAUGCCGCGGUGCCCCCCUCGCCGCCCCACCACGCGCCUGCGAUGCCAGCACGACCCGCGCAGCUGUCGUUCUCAGCCAUCAGCGGCAAAAUCAUCCCGACGAAGUCAUACAUAUGGAACAACGUCGCUGAAGAAUAUUUAUUUAAACAUGUGUCAGGGCCCCUUCGGGUGGCAGGCGGGCUUCGUCUCACCUGCCAAGCAGCUGGAGCCAGGCAGACAGAGGGAUGCCCAGGCAGGGUGCGCUAGCAUUCAGCUCUGAGGUGGCACCCUGGGUGGGGUUCCAUCCCUGCCUCAUCCUGUGUCUCUGCCUCCUCCUUCAUGGUCACAGCUGUAAAACAGCUGCCAGCCCUUCCCCCCCAACCAGGGGACAGGAGCCCGUGCUGCGGCUUCACAGAGUGGAUUUAUCACAGGGCACUGUCAGACAGGCGUCGGGGUGGGGCUGGGGGUGUGUCACAGGUAAAAGGAAACACACAGAAGUGUGUACCUGCAGGAGACAGCUUUAAAAGCAGCUGGGGAAGAAAUAAGACCCACAGAUUCAGGCCCGGCUUUUGAAGAAGGUUCUUCUGGGAUGGGUCUGCAAGGGUGACCUUGAGGGGACAGUCACCAGGGACACUUUAUGACCUCCUGAAGUGUAGGACACCGGGUCCUCCUAAUGAGUGUGCCCAGGAAGCCAGCUGCAGGGAUGAGAUUAUAAAAACAGUGUCAUGCAGACACCGCCACCGCACCAUCUCCAUGCCAAACAGGAGAGCCAGCUACCCUCACAGAGCCACUCAAGGCCUGAGUGCUGAACCGUGUGGUACAGCUUCUGCUCCUGCCCUCUCAUGUCAGGAAAGAGUCUUUUUUUUUUUAGUUCCCAUUGCAAAGAAGAGAAGACUGAGGCUGGUUGGGAACCCAUAGCAAGUAAAGAGAUAGGUGAGGACCUGUGUGAGCUGGGCUGAGGCCUUCUGGAGCUCAUAGCUGUUCUCUUCCUCAGAAGGGGAAACUGAGGCAGGGAGAGGUGGGAUGAUCUGGUUGAUCAGCUUGUCAUGACCAGGAUUCAUUCUUUAGAUAGACACAAAUCAUAACCCACUCUGCCAACUGCUCUCUCCAAAAAUGAGUGGAUGGAUGGAUGGAUGGAUGAUGGAUGGAUAAUAGAUGAUAGAUGGAUAGAUGAUGAUGGAUGGAUGGAUGAUGGAUGAUGGAUGGAUGAUGGAUGGAUGGAUGAUGGAUGGAUGAUGGAUGGAUGAUGGAUGGAUGAUGAACAGAUGGGUAUAUGGAUGAUGGAUAGAUGGAUGGAUGGAUGAUGGUAGAUGGAUAGAUGGAUGGAUAGAUGAUGGUGGAUGGAUAGAUGAUGGAUGAUGGAUGGAUGGGUAGAUGGAUUUAUGGCUAGACAGAUGAAAGCUUGGAGAAAUAAAGGAAUAGAAAGGUAAAAUAUUGAAUAGAUGAUGAAGAGAGGGAGAGAGUGGGGGAGGGAAGAAUGGAUGAUGGACAGAUGAUGGACAGGUAGAUGAUCGAUGGACAAGUGGGUGUGGGAGGGUGGGGUAUUGGGUAGAUGGACAGAUAAUGGGUAGGUGGGUGGGUGGAUGGGUAGAUAGUUGGUUUGGAAAACUGAGGAGUAGAUAAAUGAAUUGCUGAGUGGAUAGAUGGGUGGGUGGGUGGAUGGUAGCAAGUACCUUUACCUCCUGAGCCAUCUCAUUGACCCUGCAUGGAUGGAAGAAUGGAUGGAUGGAAGGAAAGCAGGGCCACAAGUCUCGGCAGAAAGCCCUCAGAGGCCCAAAUGCCAGGUCCCCUGCUGUCCGGAGGAGGAGACCAUAUGAUGCCUGGGAGGGAAGUGGUGACAGGAGAACGGAAACCAGCUCCCACACCACCCACACUUGGGAGGGAUCAGAGCCCAG